rnacentral:rRNA from 1 species
UGUAAGCGUAUACCAAAGUUGUUGCAGUUAAAACGCUCGUAGUCGGAAUUUGGCAGUUCCGGAUGUGUGCACGUCGUGUGCGCACUUCGCGGGGAUUGCUUUUGUGGUCUUGCGUAGGAUGAGGCACUUUUAUUAGUGAACGUCCUCACGCAACCACUUUUUACUGUGAGAAAAUCAGAGUGCUCAAAGCAGGCAUUUGCCGUGAAUGUAUUAGCAUGGAAUAAUAGAAUGGGACUCGGUUCUAUUUUGUUGGUUUGUUGGGACUGAGUAAUGAUUAAGAGGGACAGUUGGGGGCAUUUGUAUUUCGGCGCUAGAGGUGAAAUUCUUAGAUUGCCGAAAGACAAACUGCUGCGAAAGCGUCUGCCAAGGAUGUUUUCAUUGA